rfam:Myotis lucifugus cont2.2220, whole genome shotgun sequence.
GGCGGUUCUUGGGUGAUGCACCCUGGAAUUGGGCUCCAUCCUCUCUGGUUCCAGGUGCGUCACCCAAGAACCACA